rnacentral:rRNA from 1 species
GAUGAACGCUGGCGGCGUGCCUAAUACAUGCAAGUCGAGCGAACAGACGAGGAGCUUGCUCCUUUGACGUUAGCGGCGGACGGGUGAGUAACACGUGGAUAACCUACCUAUAAGACUGGGAUAACUUCGGGAAACCGGAGCUAAUACCGGAUAACAUGUUGAACCGCAUGGUUCAACAGUGAAAGACGGUCUUGCUGUCACUUAUAGAUGGAUCCGCGCCGCAUUAGCUAGUUGGUAAGGUAACGGCUUACCAAGGCAACGAUGCGUAGCCGACCUGAGAGGGUGAUCGGCCACACUGGAACUGAGACACGGUCCAGACUCCUACGGGAGGCAGCAGUAGGGAAUCUUCCGCAAUGGGCGAAAGCCUGACGGAGCAACGCCGCGUGAGUGAAGAAGGUCUUCGGAUCGUAAAGCUCUGUUAUUAGGAAAGAACAAAUGUGUAAGUAACUAUGCACGUCUUGACGGUACCUAAUCAGAAAGCCACGGCUAACUACGUG